rnacentral:rRNA from 1 species
GACGAACGCUGGCGGCGUGCCUAAUACAUGCAAGUUGAGCGCUGAGGCCUUGUACUUGUACCAACUGGAUGAACAGCGAACGGGUGAGUAACGAGUGGGGCAUCUGCCUUUGAGCGGGGGACAACAAUUGGAAACGAAUGCUAAUACCGCAUACAAACUUUAAACACAAGUUUGAAGUUUGAAAGAGGCAAUUGCAUCACUCAAAGCUGAUCCCGCGUUGUAUUAGCUAGUUGGUUAGGUAAAGGCGCACCAAGGCGAUGAUACAUAGCCGACCUGGGAGGGUGGUAGGCCACAUUGGAGCGUACACACCGCCCAAAGUACUACGAGACGCAGCAGUAGGGAACCUGAGGCAAUAGAGGAGAGUCUUACAGAACAGCCGCGCGCGAGUGAAGAAAGUUUUCGGAUCGUAAAAAUCUGUUGGUAGAGAUGAACGUCUGUCAGAGUGGAAAGAUCAUCAAGUGACGGUAACUACCGAGAAAGCGACGGCUAACUACGCG